UUGUUUAUCACUUUAUUUUGCAGAUUGGAUUUAUUUUCAAUCACCGUGGUGAUUUGUGUUUGGAGCUUCUUGCACAAUAAGAUCGUAACAUCCGUAGUGGUGGUGGAGAGAUUCAGAACGGGCGGAGAUGAAAGAUGCUAAUUUGGAGAUAAUUGUGCCUUAAUUAAGAAUAUUAAUUAUUCUUAAUUAUGGGUUUUUAGUACCAUUUAUGGCGACCAUAAUUGGGGCGUUUAUGGCCCAUAGAGGCAUUUAAGAGCCAUAAUGUUGAUUCUUUUAUGUCUUUAUUUUAAAAAAAUUCAAAUUUACUAAUAUUUCUUUUAUUCGAUUUUGUCUUAUUUUCAGGAUGAUUGAAUAAGAAUGUAAGAAUUUAUUAAGGCUGUUUCCGAGAAGACGCGAACCUUGGUGUACAAGACAGUUGAGCUACAAUCAUAGAAGACAUCAUUUUUAGUCUGUAAUCAGAUGUAAUUUUUGUAGGGUACUCUUUUUCCCCCUUGAGUUUUUUCCCACAGGGUUUUGCUCUUGAGGGGUUUUAACGAGGCCCUUUUUUUGUGGGUUAUCUCUUCUGACUUGAAAGGCUAUGUUAUCUAAGCUUCCGGAGUAUUUACAUACUUUCGGUUAGAUGAUAUACCUUCUUGAACGAAGGAAACUCUGUCCAUCCGGAUUUGUAUAUUUCUUUCUUGGUAUAAUACAACCGUCUUAUGACAAAAAAAAAAAAAAAA
rnacentral:lncRNA from 1 species